GCUUGUCUCAAAGAUUAAGCCAUGCAUGUCUAAGUACAAGCCUCAGUAAGGUGAAACCGCGAAUGGCUCAUUAAAUCACACCUAAUCUACUGGAAAGUUACUAGUUACUUGGAUAACUGAGGUAAUUCUUGAGCUAAUACAUGCGAAAAAUCUCGACUCACGGAGAGAUGCUUUUAUUAGAUCAAAACCAAACGGCUUCGGCCGUCUCAUUGGUGACUCUGAAUAACUUUGGGCUGAUCGUAUGGCCUUGUGCUAGCGACAGUCCACUCGAUUUUCUGCCCUAUCAUGGUUGAGAUUGUAAGAUAGAGGCUUACAAUGCCUACAACGGGUAACGGGGAAUUAGGGUUCGAUUCCGGAGAGGGAGCCUGAGAAACGGCUACCACAUCCAAGGAAGGCAGCAGG
rnacentral:rRNA from 1 species